rnacentral:pre_miRNA from 1 species
AGUGGAACUGCUGGAUCAUAUGGUAGUUCUACUUUUAGUUUUUUGAAGAAUCUCCAUAUUGUUUUCCAUAGUGGCUAUACUAAUUUACAUUCCUACCAACAGU